GCAGUCGUGGCCGAGUGGUUAAGGCAUCUGACUUGAAAUCAGAUUCCCUCUGGGAGCGUAGGUUCGAGUCCUGCCGGCUGCG